GCCUGGAGCCGCAGAAUCUGGAGCUGAAGAGAGGUGGCAGGGGCGGGGGGGGGCGGGCGGGGAGCCUGCCCUUGGGAGCCUCGGCCUUCCAUGGACACUGGCUGUACCUGUCUUCCUGCAGCCAGCAGGGAGGGAGCUCUGGAAAUCAUAUUCCUCCUGUCCAGCCCAGCCUCCCAGGGGCUGAACCCCAAAGGAAGCCUGCAGGCAGCGGGGCUGGGGAGGCCACAGAGCAGGCAGGGUUGGCCUUGGGGCAUGAGGCCUGGCGGACGCAGACGAAGAGUGGAUCUGCAGGGCUCACUGCAAUGGUCCAACCAGGUAGUGUCUGUAGCUUGUCCGCCUUUUCUCUCUGCAUCUCCUGUGUCACCACACCCAGGCACCCCAGCUUCCUAGAACCAACCAGCAUACCUCCUAGAUGGAAGUUCUUCUGUAAGUCCAAGGAGACCAUGACCUCUGUGCUCAGUCCAGAUCACUUCGGCCACCUAAUGGAUCUCCACACCACCGUUCCUGCCCAUUCCUCCUCCAUCUGGAAGCACAACCUCGCCUCCAGAUCUUAGCCCGUGACCUGGCACUCAGAGGGCACUGAAGUUUGUUGACUGAUUGAAUGGACUGAGACAAUGAGGCUGUAAAAGAUGAAACAAUUAGACUCGAUUCGUCUGACAAGGAAGUAAAGCAGCUGACAUUCACGAAACCCUUGGUGGAUGCUGGCCACACAGGCCUGGAGGGGACAGUUCUGCCCUGAAGGAUCUCUCUCCAAGUGAUGUGGAGUGGCUGUCCCUGAGUCCCUCUGAUGUGUCCCCAUGGUGAUGAAGAGCAUGAGCGAUGGGACUGGAAAAUGAAAUGAACCAGUCUUCAUGCUUGAUCAGCCAGAGGAUCUUCAUCCCCACCCCUUGUCUCCACCUUCCGAACCCAGGAAAAGUCCACUGGUGAGAAUCUGACCGUAGACUUGCAAGGCCUGGGUGGAGGCCCAGCCCUGCCCCCUCCCAGCAGGGUGACUGUGGCAAAAUCUCUUAACCAGUCUAGGCUUCAGCUUCUCCAUUUGCACUCUGGGGAUGAUGAUAGGACACAACUCACAGCGCUGUCCUGAAGCUUAAAGGAGUGGGUAAUUCAAGCUCUUAGUGCAGUGCCUGGCCCCAAGAUAAAAUACACCGAAAGUUCCUCUGAGGGGCUGCUGACACUGACUGCCCUUUGAGCAUCCCCUGUGAUGAUGAUACUAAAACAGGGACUAGGAGUUACUUGUCAACAGUGUGUAAGCUGGACUUGCAUUUG